rnacentral:rRNA from 1 species
AACGAACGCUGGCGGCAUGCCUAACACAUGCAAGUCGAACGAGAUCUUCGGGUCUAGUGGCGCACGGGUGCGUAACGCGUGGGAAUCUGCCCUUUGGUUCGGAAUAACAGUUGGAAACGACUGCUAAUACCGGAUGAUGACGAAAGUCCAAAGAUUUAUCGCCAGAGGAUGAGCCCGCGUAGGAUUAGCUAGUUGGUGUGGUAAAGGCGCACCAAGGCGACGAUCCUUAGCUGGUCUGAGAGGAUGAUCAGCCACACUGGGACUGAGACACGGCCCAGACUCCUACGGGAGGCAGCAGUGGGGAAUAUUGGACAAUGGGCGAAAGCCUGAUCCAGCAAUGCCGCGUGAGUGAUAAGGGCCUUAGGGUUGUAAAGCUCUUUUACCCGGGAUGAUAAUGACAGUACCGGGAGAAUAAGCUCCGGCUAACUCCGUGCCAGCAGCCGCAGUAA